GCUGCAGUAUCUUGACUGUACAAAGGUAGCAUAAUCAUUAGUUUUUUAAUUGAAAGCUGGAAUGAAUGGCUGAAUAAGGAAAUGACUGUCUCUUUUUAAUUAAUUUGAACUUUAUUUUUAAGUUAAAAAGCUUAAAUUUAAUAAAAAGACGAGAAGACCCUAUAGAGUUUAAUAGGUUUAUAUUUUUAUAAUUUAGGAUUUUAUUAUAUAAUAACGUUAACUUAUUUAGUUGGGGUGACUGUAGAAUUUAAUAAACUUCAUUUUUGUAAUCAUUGAUUUAUGAAUAAAUGAUCCUAGUGUUUAGAUUAAAAGAAUAAAUUACCUUAGGGAUAACAGCGUAAUUUUUUUGGAGAGUUCUUAUCGAUAAAAGAGAUUGCGACCUCGAUGUUGGAUUAAAGUUUAUUUUUGGUGCAGAAGCUAAAAUAUUA
rnacentral:rRNA from 1 species